rnacentral:sRNA from 1 species
AGAUAUGAGGCCAAUUUGGCUGCGAUAUCUGUCACUCUACUGAUCUCCACGGUUGAUUUGGCUCAUCUGGUUGACUAGGAGGUUGUCUCCUUUCUCAUCUCUCCAUGUGCAUCCGUCCUAAAGCUGUGAGAUCAGUAGAAAAGGAUAACCCUCCCCAAUAGCAGAGGACAGUUCUUCAGUCAAGAUACAGAUACAAGUACCUGCACUGUCUCCCACCCAUCCCUACUAGAACCUCCGAAUAUACUCUCAAAGUGGAAAAGAUAGAACAGUUC